rnacentral:rRNA from 1 species
GCUCAGGAUGAACGCUGGCGGCGUGCCUAAUACAUGCAAGUCGAACGCACAGCGAAAGGUGCUUGCACCUUUCAAGUGAGUGGCGAACGGGUGAGUAACACGUGGACAACCUGCCUCAAGGCUGGGGAUAACAUUUGGAAACAGAUGCUAAUACCGAAUGAAACUUAGUGUCGCAUGACACGAAGUUAAAAGGCGCUUUGGCGUCACCUAGAGAUGGAUCCGCGGUGCAUUAGUUAGUUGGUGGGGUAAAGGCCUACCAAGACAAUGAUGCAUAGCCGAGUUGAGAGACUGAUCGGCCACAUUGGGACUGAGACACGGCCCAAACUCCUACGGGAGGCUGCAGUAGGGAAUCUUCCACAAUGGGCGAAAGCCUGAUGGAGCAACGCCGCGUGUGUGAUGAAGGCUUUCGGGUCGUAAAGCACUGUUGUAUGGGAAGAACAGCUAGAAUAGGGAAUGAUUUUAGUUUGACGGUACCAUACCAGAAAGGGACGGCUAAAUACGUGCCAGCAGCCGCGGUAAUACGUAUGUCCCGAGCGUUAUCCGGAUUUAUUGGGCGUAAAGCGAGCGCAGACGGUUGAUUAAGUCUGAUGUGAAAGCCCGGAGCUCAACUCCGGAAUGGCAUUGGAAACUGGUUA